UACGUAGGGUGCAAGCGUUGUCCGGAAUUAUUGGGCGUAAAGGGCUCGUAGGCGGUCUGUUGCGUCGGCUGUGAAAACCCGGGGCUCAACUCCGGGCCUGCAGCCGAUACGGGCAGACUAGAGUUCGGCAGGGGAGACUGGAAUUCCUGGUGUAGCGGUGAAAAUGCGCAGAUAUCAGGAGGAACACCGGUGGCGAAGGCGGGUCUCUGGGCCGAUACUGACGCUGAGGAGCGAAAGCGUGGGGGAGCGAACAGG
rnacentral:rRNA from 1 species